rnacentral:lncRNA from 10 species
CUCACGCCUGUAAUCCCAGCACUUUGGGAGGUCAAGGCGGGUGGAUCACCUGAAGUCAGGAGUUCGAGACCAGCCUGGCCAACAUGGUGAAACCCCGUCUCUACUAAAAAUACAAAAAUUAGCCAGGCAUGGUGGCGGGCGCCUGUAAUCCCAGCUACUCGAGAAGCUGAGGCAGGAGAAUCACUUGAACCCAGGAGGUGGAGGUUGCAGUGCCAACCACCAUGCCCGACUAAUUUUUAUAUUUUAGUAGAGACGCGGUUUCACCAUGUUGGCCAGGCUGGUCUCAAAUUUCUGACCUCAGGUGAUCCUCCCGCCUCAGCCUCUCAAAGUGCUGGGAUUACAGGCGUGAGCCACCACGCCCAGCCUACAAUUAUUUACAUUUAAUAUUGUUAGGCCUAUGGUGCCUGGAAGUACAUACAUGCCUCUUGUCAUUAAAUAAAUCUGUCAUUAAGAAGUCAGAAGUCAUCUCAAGGAGUCCAAAGGAAGAGACCGUAUGAGGAGGUUGUAUGUAAAUCUCUCUCUUUACAAUUGUGGUAAAAUACACAUAACAUAACAUUUAACGUCUUAACCGUAUUUUUUUUUUUUUGAGACCGAGUCUCACUCUGUCUCCAAGGCCGGAGUGCAGUGGCGCAAUCUUGGCUUACUAAAACCUCUGCUUCCUGGGUUCAAGUGAUUCUCCUGCCUCAGCCUCCUGAGUAGCUGAGAUUACAGGCGCACACCACCACGCCCAGCUAAUUUUUGUAUUUUAGUAGGGAUGGGGUUUCACCAUGUUGGUCAGGCUAGUCUCAAACUCUU